UGCGCAUGCUCUUUGCGACGUAAAUUACGAAGAUUGUAAAUUACGAAAGAUUUACGUGUCUUCGUAUUUUACGUCUAUUUACGUCCUAUUUUGAUACGUUGAUUUACGCAACAUCGCUAGGUCAUAAUGACACGUGCACUGUGUGAUUACACUCCAUCAUUUGACAUUAUAGUCUAGGAGCUCUUGAACAUGCAUCUUUAUUAAUUAAUUAAUUAAGAAUAACACCGCCGUUCGGUACAUGCAAAUGUGUGUAAGCCGUAUACAGAGUACUACACAAGGCUAGAGACCAAAGGUUUGACGGAGCCGUCGAUCUGUGUGAACUGAAGGUUCCGCCCAUGGGAGGGUCUACGCAGUGUACAAUUGUGGUUGAUAGGGGUUGAGCUGUCACUAGACGGUUCGUGCCAAGAAUGGAUGAUUCGCUAGAACUGGUGAAAGGCAACAAAGGCCGGUUGCAAUACACGGCUGAAAUUCGAUUAGCUGCCUAUAGUAUUGGCAAGACCUUCUCUAGAGGAGACGUACAAAAAGGCUUCUAUGAGCUAAACUUCGAUUCAAAAAGCCUGUGGUCAAAGUCUACUGUAGAGUUGGUAUUAUGCAAGACAUUCGGCAGAGCAUAAGACGCCAUGAAUGUAACACAGCUGGUUCUUAACCUGGGUUCGAUCGAACCCCAGGGGUUCGGUGAGUCAGUCUCAGGGGUUCGGUGAGUCAGUCUCAGGGGUUCGGUGAGUCAGUCUCAGGGGUUCGGUGAGUCAGUCUCAGGGGUUCGGCGGAGGUCAAGACACACACCCGACUCAUAUGAUUCGUGAUGACACGCCCCGCUUGGCCAUCAUUGGCUGCAGGUGAUCACGCAACAUCGCUUGGCCUAUCUGUGCUGCAGGGAAUUUGGCGCGCUCAGUAGUCGAAUUGUGACUGUCGUGAUGGUACGUCGUGUGAUUUCUUUCUUAAUAUUUUAAUCCCUUCAUACUAACUAUGUCGAGCAAAAAAAGAAAGUGGUCGGACGAAUAUGUAUAAUAUGGAUUCACAUGUAUAACGGAACGUGAUGGGAGUCAGCGUCCUAACUGCAUGAUUUGCAAUACCAAGUUGAGCAAUUCUAGUCUUGAGUGACAUGAAAGUGGCACUUGCCAAGGUGAAGCCGCGCAUUUCUGAACUGGUCUCUGAAAGGCAACAGCAGAAGUCACACUGAUUUGCAGUAAAUAUUCAUUAUUAUGUUUUUGUUUUUGUGUGAAAAUCAUGUUUUAAUGGUUUUGUUCUUUGAACACUGAUGUUGAUGCACGGUUCAUUUUGUGCACCAGUAAAAUAUAUACCUAUGACUAUGUUUUGAAUUUUAUUUUUCCAAUUAAGAAGGGUUCGGUGAAUGCGCAUAUGAAACUGGUGGGGGUCAGUACCUCCAACAAGGUUAAGAACCACUGUUCUAAACUCAAAUUCGUGACGAUGGAACGCCGCACAAGCAAGAAAAUCGGCGUUUGCGCUUAUUUCCGGUAGUUGAAUUCAACUGUCGAAGCAGAAUCCCCGUAUAAACAAACAGAAGUCAGAAAGGACGCCUUUUCUACGAUUUGGGGCGUUUUCGCCGUGUGCUUUUGCAUUUCCAGCGUUGGUGUGUAGUCUGGAAAGAUAUCCGACUGACUAUUUAUCAGUCUUUUGCGUUUCUACAAAUUCUCCAAAUUCUAGUUGUCAACGCAGAAUGGUCAGUUUUAUUUUGAAUUUCUUCGUUUUCGUUGCCAAGAAGACGCGGUGGUUACAGAAAAAUGAAGUUUGACCAUUCAUCACGGCAAUAAUCGACUGACUAGACUACAGACCAAGUUUCAGAGCUACUAGAAAGAAUGCAAAGAAGAGAAACACAGCCCUCAUCAGUUGGAACUGCAGAUGUUGAGUUCUCUCUAAACUAUUGAUGUCACAGGCAGUAAAGAAGAAUCUGAUGAAGAAGAUACAUUAGUGGAAGAGAUAUCAGAUGACAGCACGUCAGAAAUGUCAGUCUCACUUACAACAGAGCUUGCUGAAGUAGCUAAACGAGAAAGAGCAGCUACAUUGACGAGAGCAGUCAGUACAGAUGCAACUAUGCCAGACAUUACUCUAAGGGCUGCCGAUGAGCAAGAACUCUUACUGCAGUCUAUUACAUGGCAACAGAUGGCAGCUGCUGCUCGACUGUCAUCUGUAAGUAAAGACACGACCGUUGUAGAAGAUGAGGGGUAUGAGGACGCUUUGGAUGAUGUAGACGAGCCAGACUCUGCAUCAACGUAAGGAGAGCUAGCAACACAAGCUGUGAUGUCGAAAUGAAGAAAAAUGUUUAUGCAAGAGCUCGUCGACACAGAGGAACACUUUGUGGAAGACUUUGAGUUUGUCUGCCAGAACUACGUGAAUGCCUAUUUGACAAGUGACUCAGUGCCUAACAGUCUUCGUGGCAAGACAAAUGUCAUCUUUGGAAACAUCACCAUGCUUUAUGAUUUCAACAAAAAUAUGUUUGUGCCAUAUCUGACGAAGCAUACAAACACUCCUGAAGAUUGGAUCUUGCUUUAUUGAAUUUGUCAGUUGUUGGU